UACAGAGGUGGCAAGCGUUGUUCGGAAUUACUGGGCGUAAAGGGCGCGUAGGCGGCUUUUUAAGUCAGACGUGAAAUCCCCCGGCUUAACCUGGGAACUGCGUCUGAUACUGGGAAGCUUGAGUUCGGGAGAGGGAUGUAGAAUUCCAGGUGUAGCGGUGAAAUGCGUAGAUAUCUGGAGGAAUACCGGUGGCGAAGGCGGCAUCCUGGACCGAAACUGACGCUGAGGCACGAAAGCUAGGGGAGCAAACGGG
rnacentral:rRNA from 1 species